rnacentral:lncRNA from 1 species
UGCUGAGAAUGCAUUGCUGAGAACUAUGUUUCCCUGAUGGCUAGCAACAUAUAUAUGCCAUACACACAAAAAACAUUCUUCCAACUGCAAGUAGGAUUAGGAGUAACUGGGAUUGGCCAUGCCAGAUCCUUUCCUCAAAUAAGAUGAUGGCGUAUCCAUAAACUUUACUGUGUUUGUCCAUGACACCGAAGAUUUCCCUACAAUGUGGGAAGACUACUCCAAUGACCAGCAUAAUAAGUUUUCCACAUUAUGCAACAAGGCCUAUAUGCUUGCAUUUAAUAGGCCUUAUGCUCAUAAUGCUGCCCUUUUGAAAUCGUAAUCCACAUGGACAUGGCAGGAGGGUCUCGAAUGACAAUUGCUUCUAGUCGUAAACAAAAACUAUUCAAAAUAUAUAGGGUUUAAUAUUGAGACAAUGUUACAAAACAAGAAUCCAGUGUUCGCGUUUUAUCUAUUAGUACUGUGUUUGAAUCUUUUUAGUAUCACUUGUUGUAAUUGUU